rnacentral:rRNA from 1 species
UACGGAGGGUGCGAGCGUUGUCCGGAAUCACUGGGCGUAAAGGGCGCGUAGGCGGCCUGAUAAGUAGGGGGUGAAAUCCUGCGGCUUAACCGCAGGGCUGCCUUCUAAACUGUCGGGCUAGAGCACGGUAGAGGCAGAUGGAAUUCCCGGUGUAGCGGUGGAAUGCGUAGAGAUCGGGAAGAACAUCAGUGGCGAAGGCGGUCUGCUGGGCCGUUGCUGACGCUGAGGCGCGACAGCGUGGGGGAGCAAACAGG